GAGUUUGAUCCUGGCUCAGGAUGAACGCUGGCGGCGUGCUUAACACAUGCAAGUCGAACGAAGCGGCUGCAGGGAUUCCCUUCGGGGAGGAACAGUAGCUGUCUGAGUGGCGGACGGGUGAGUAACGCGUGGGCAACCUGCCCCAUACCGGGGGAUAACAGCCGGAAACGGCUGCUAAUACCGCAUACGCCCAGGAGGCUGCAUAGCUUCCUGGGGAAAACUCCGGUGGUAUGGGAUGGGCCCGCGUCUGAUUAGCUCGUUGGCGGGGUAACGGCCCACCAAGGCGACGAUCAGUAGCCGGCCUGAGAGGGCGGCCGGCCACAUUGGGACUGAGACACGGCCCAGACUCCUGCGGGAGGCAGCAGUGGGGAAUAUUGCACAAUGGGGGAAACCCUGAUGCAGCGACGCCGCGUGAACGAGGAAGUAUCUCGGUAUGUAAAGCUCUAUCAGCA
rnacentral:rRNA from 1 species